rnacentral:rRNA from 1 species
ACUCAAAUGAAUUGACGGGGGCCCGCACAAGCGGUGGAACAUGUGGUUUAAUUCGAUGCAACGCGAAGAACCUUACCUGGGCUUGACAUCUGCAGAACCUCUCAGAGAUGAGGGGGUGCCUUCGGGAACUGCAAGACAGGUGGUGCACGGUUGUCGUCAGCUCGUGUCGUGAGAUGUUGGGUUAAGUCCCGCAACGAGCGCAACCCUCGUGGUCUGUUGUUACAGGUCGUAAGAUGCUGAACCCUCAGGCCAGACUGCCGGUGAUAAACCGGAGGAAGGUGGGGAUGACGUCAAAUCAUCACGCCCCUUAUGUCCAGGGCUACACACGUGUUACAAUGGGAUGAGGACAAUGGGAUGCUUGGUAGCGAUACUUGGCAAAUCCCCGAAACCUCCCCUCAGUUCGGAUCGGAGUCUGCAACUCGACUCCGUGAAGUCGGAAUCGCUAGUAAACGCAGAUCAGCACGCUGCGUUGAAUACGUUCCCGGGCCUUGUACACACCGCCCGU